rnacentral:tRNA from 1 species
GCGCGAGUGGUGAAAUUGGCAGACACGCUAGUUUUAGGCACUAGUGCUUUACGGCGUGAGGGUUCAAGUCCCUCCUCGCGCACCA